rnacentral:tRNA from 1 species
GCCCUGCCGUUCGCUGAUAAAUGGCGGCCUUUCGAGCCGAGGACAGGGGUUCAAAUCCCCUACCGAGCA